rnacentral:rRNA from 1 species
CACGUAGGGGGCGAGCGUUGUCCGGAUUUAUUGGGCGUAAAGAGCUCGUAGGCGGCUCGGUAAGUCGGGUGUGAAAUUUCGAGGCUCAACCUCGAAACGCCACCCGAUACUGCUGUGGCUAGAGUCCGGUAGGGGAGCGUGGAAUUCCUGGUGUAGCGGUGAAAUGCGCAGAUAUCAGGAGGAACACCAGCGGCGAAGGCGGCGCUCUGGGCCGGUACUGACGCUGAGGAGCGAAAGCGUGGGGAGCAAACGGG